rnacentral:rRNA from 1 species
GAUGAACGCUGGCGGCGUGCCUAAUACAUGCAAGUCGAGCGAACGGACGAGAAGCUUGCUUCUCUGAUGUUAGCGGCGGACGGGUGAGUAACACGUGGAUAACCUACCUAUAAGACUGGGAUAACUUCGGGAAACCGGAGCUAAUACCGGAUAAUAUUUUGAACCGCAUGGUUCAAAAGUGAAAGACGGUCUUGCUGUCACUUAUAGAUGGAUCCGCGCUGCAUUAGCUAGUUGGUAAGGUAACGGCUUACCAAGGCAACGAUGCAUAGCCGACCUGAGAGGGUGAUCGGCCACACUGGAACUGAGACACGGUCCAGACUCCUACGGGAGGCAGCAGUAGGGAAUCUUCCGCAAUGGGCGAAAGCCUGACGGAGCAACGCCGCGUGAGUGAUGAAGGUCUUCGGAUCGUAAAACUCUGUUAUUAGGGAAGAACAUAUAUGUAAGUAACUGUGCACAUCUUGACGGUACCUAAUCAGAAAGCCACGGCUAACUACGUGCCAGCAGCCGCGGUAAUACGUAGGUGGCAAGCGUUAUCCGGAAUUAUUGGGCGUAAAGCGCGCGUAGGCGGUUUUUUAAGUCUGAUGUGAAAGCCCACGGCUCAACCGUGGAGGGUCAUUGGAAACUGGAAAACUUGAGUGCAGAAGAGGAAAGUGGAAUUCCAUGUGUAGCGGUGAAAUGCGCAGAGAUAUGGAGGAACACCAGUGGCGAAGGCGACUUUCUGGUCUGUAACUGACGCUGAUGUGCGAAAGCGUGGGGAUCAAACAGGAUUAGAUACCCUGGUAGUCCACGCCGUAAACGAUGAGUGCUAAGUGUUAGGGGGUUUCCGCCCCUUAGUGCUGCAGCUAACGCAUUAAGCACUCCGCCUGGGGAGUACGACCGCAAGGUUGAAACUCAAAGGAAUUGACGGGGACCCGCACAAGCGGUGGGGCAUGUGGUUUAAUUCGAAGCAACGCGAAGAACCUUACCAAAUCUUGACAUCCUUUGACAACUCUAGAGAUAGAGCCUUCCCCUUCGGGGGACAAAGUGACAGGUGGUGCAUGGUUGUCGUCAGCUCGUGUCGUGAGAUGUUGGGUUAAGUCCCGCAAUGAGCGCAACCCUUAAGCUUAGUUGCCAUCAUUAAGUUGGGCACUCUAAGUUGACUGCCGGUGACAAACCGGAGGAAGGUGGGGAUGACGUCAAAUCAUCAUGCCCCUUAUGAUUUGGGCUACACACGUGCUACAAUGGACAAUACAAAGGGCAGCGAAACCGCGAGGUCAGGCAAAUCCCAUAAAGUUGUUCUCAGUUCGGAUUGUAGUCUGCAACUCGACUACAUGAAGCUGGAAUCGCUAGUAAUCGUAGAUCAGCAUGCUACGGUGAAUACGUUCCCGGGUCU